AUUGCCUUAGUAACGGCGAGUGAAGCGGCAACAGCUCAAAUUUGAAAUCUGGCUCUUUCAGAGUCCGAGUUGUAAUUUGCAGAGGGCGCUUUGGCUUUGGCAGCGGUCCAAGUUCCUUGGAACAGGACGUCACAGAGGGUGAGAAUCCCGUACGUGGUCGCUAGCUAUUGCCGUGUAAAGCCCCUUCGACGAGUCGAGUUGUUUGGGAAUGCAGCUCUAAAUGGGAGGUAAAUUUCUUCUAAAGCUAAAUAUUGGCCAGAGACCGAUAGCGCACAAGUAGAGUGAUCGAAAGAUGAAAAGCACUUUGGAAAGAGAGUCAAACAGCUCGUGAAAUUGUUGAAAGGGAAGCGCUUGCAGCCAGACUUGCUUGCAGUUGCUCAUCCGGGCUUUUGCCCGGUGCACUCUUCUGCAGGCAGGCCAGCAUCAGUUUGGGCGGUGGGAUAAAGGUCUCUGACACGUUCCUUCCUUCGGGUUGGCCAUAUAGGGGAGACGUCAUACCACCAGCCUGGACUGAGGUCCGCGCAUCUGC
rnacentral:rRNA from 1 species